rnacentral:rRNA from 1 species
GUGGGGAAUAUUGGACAAUGGGCGAAAGCCUGAUCCAGCCAUGCCGCGUGUGUGAAGAAGGUCUUCGGAUUGUAAAGCACUUUAAGUUGGGAGGAAGGGCAGUAAGUUAAUACCUUGCUGUUUUGACGUUACCGACAGAAUAAGCACCGGCUAACUUCGUGCCAGCAGCCGCGGUAAUACGAAGGGUGCAAGCGUUAAUCGGAAUUACUGGGCGUAAAGCGCGCGUAGGUGGUUUUGUAAGUUGGAGGUGAAAUCCCCGGGCUCAACCUGGGAACUGCCUCCAAAACUGCAUGACUAGAGUACGGUAGAGGGUAGUGGAAUUUCCUGUGUAGCGAUGAAAUGCGUAGAUAUAGGAAGGAACACCAGUGGCUAAGGCGACUACCUGGACUGAUACUGACACUGAGGUGCGAAAGCGUGGGGAGCAAACAGGAUUAGAAACCCCGGUAGUCC